rnacentral:rRNA from 1 species
GAUGAACGCUAGCGGCAGGCCUAAUACAUGCAAGUCAAGGGGUCGUAGCAAUACGGCACCGGCGAACGGGUGCGUAACGCGUACGCAAUAUACCUCUAAGAGGGGGAUAGCUUCUGGAAACGGGAGGUAAUACCCCAUAGUAUUAUUUGGUAGCAUUACUGGAUAAUUAAAACUCAGGUGCUUAGAGAUUGGCGUGCGUCCUAUUAGAUAGUUGGUGAGGUAACGGCUCACCAAGUCGAUGAUAGGUAGGGGCGUGAGAGCGUGGUCCCCCACACGGACACUGAGAUACGGGUCCGACUCCUACGGGAGGCAGCAGUAAGGAAUAUUGGUCAAUGGACGGAAGUCUGAACCAGCCAUGCCGCGUGGAGGAUGAAGGUGCUACGCAUUGUAAACUUCUUUGGACGGAGAAGAAACCCCUGCCUGCGGGCGGGGCUGACGGUAUCCGUAGAACAAGCACCGGCUAACUCCGUGCCAGCAGCCGCGGUAAU